UGCAUCGGCUGGGAAUCGAACCCUGGCCGCCCACGUGGCAGGCGAGCAUUCUACCACUGAACCACCGAUGC
rnacentral:tRNA from 1 species